GCGCGGCGGGGCGCGAUGGCGGGCGGGCUGGGGCCGUGGCUGCUGGCCUUGGCCUUGGGGCCGGCGGGAGUGUGUGCACAGUGGAGACUGGAAGCAUCUGGUGGAGGAAAUCAGAAUGAUUCUAUUCCAGAAGUCAUUGUGAUGAAAUCAAAGAAAAACAACAAAGAUGAUGACACUGGGAAAGCAGCUUGUCUGGCAAGGAAUUUUUAUAAGAAGAACAUCAGUUUGGAGAUGCCCUCUACAGAAGUUGUAUAUGAACCAAAAGCACCCAUUGUGACAUCAAAUGGGGUGUAUAAUACUAUUAAGGUGGUCAAAGUGACAAAACAAUCGGAGGUGACGUGCACAGCCAGGUUAAGCAACGGCAAUUUUACAGCCAACUCGACAUCACCAGAAUUGAAAAUUGAAGAAACGAAGUCAGAAAAUACUUGCAACACCACAGACACCUCUGCAGAUAUCAAUGUGGAGAAAGUGAACAUGUUGUCCAUGGCUGUGUUGGGUUUGAGAGUUCUGCUGGCAAAAAGUAUUGCCUUCAAUACACUCAUGAGUAUCAAGCUGCUGCUUUUCUAAGGCAAUGGAGAAACAAGGCAGCAGAAGUGUGAGGAACAGAAGGAGAGAGCAUUUACCAGCAGUAUGAAUUCCAGGGGUGGAAAACCUUCCUAGACAGUUUAAGUAACUGUUAGAGUUGUAACUGAUUUUGCUAUUUCUUGUUCUCUGUGAACUGAGGAGAGUACAUUUUUCUUCAUUCCUUUGCUAAGUAGGAAUUGUUUUUCCCUUUCUUUUAUCCUUUGCAUAGAAGCACCCCACCAGCACUGAUAGUUUUAAAAAUCAGAGCCUCACCACAGGUACAUCACCAUUUGAAAAUGCAUUUACAGGAAUGUUGCAUUACUCCAUAGAGCUGAGAUUUUACUGCUGAGAGGAUUCUGGAGAGGCUAUUAAUUAAUUAAUAUUAAAAGUCUUACUGCUUUUUAGAUAACAAUUUAAAUUCAAUAACAAUCAAUAACUUCAAUAUGCUUCAAUAACAAUCUUUCUAGUGUAGAUGAAGAAAUCUGUGUUGGACCUGAAGUGAUUCACUGCAACCAGAUAAUGUUCAACCACCAGUAACAGUUUUAUUUGCAUUUCUUUGUUUAACUUGUAUCACUUCUGCAAAGCAUACAACAUCUCUGUUUUAAGUUGCUGUAAUCAUUGCUCAAAUAAAGUUUUAAUAUGCUAAAA